AGAAGCUAGGGGAGGAAUGCGAAGGCGAGAGAAAGAGAUCGAGGAAACAUGGGAGGGGCGAGAAAUCCAUUUUUCCUCGCUCUCUUUCUCUCGCCUUCGCAUUCCCCCCCCCCCCUAAC